GGGGAAUGACNCCGGGUCCNAAAGAGAGACNCUCGCAUGGCGUGCGCGUGGUGCGUUUCGGACCAGGCUUCAUUCCCC
rnacentral:pre_miRNA from 1 species